CUCACCCGGUUCGCCCGUCCUGUCCGGGACGUCACCGGCUCGUCGGCUCUGGAAUGGACCUGCUCCUCUGCCCUCAUGAAGCCUUAGGGCGGAAGUAGUGACACUCCAUUCCCCGGCGCCAGCCCGGGGCUCAGGUAUAAAUGAUGCUGGUAAAAUAAGUUGAAGAUCAAUGGGCCGGUCCAGUGGGUUCCAGUUUGACAACUUGCCACCCCGUGAGCUGUUGGAAGUGACCCUGAAGCUGAGCAAGCCCCUGGCUGGGCUGGGGGAGAGAGUUGCCAACGUGCUCAGCAGAAGAUGGAUGGGGAAGUGAAGUCAGCUUCAGCAAAAGAAACCAAUGAGCAGGAGAGAUGAAGAGAUGAAUCCUGCUGACUACACCAAAAUAUCUUACCAGAGGGUCUCAGCUCCCGGCACGUUCACUCUGGAUUCCGUGUGAUGGAGUAGCUUGGACCUUUAUAAUCAGCAGCCAAGAGCAGGCAAGCUUCAAGAUUCAGGGUCCCAGGGGUAUCAUAAAGCUCCAGACCAGAGAUGGAACAGUAAGAGAGGAGGGGCUCGGGAUCCAGAGGAGGUCAGGGCCAUGACACCACACAGGCCUCCCAGCAGCGCCUUCCUCAAAAGUCAGUGCGGAGGCUGGAGCUAGAGCCCCAGGUGAGUGUCUGUUGUGGGUUCUUGUGCUGACACUCCCCAGGCACCAACUGUGCUUUACCAACCUGCUGCCCCACCGCUUCCUUCUGCCACCCCCUUCACUAGGCUGCUUCACGGCCCUCCUGGAGCUACAGAGAAUACACACAGAGCCGUGCUGAGCUCCCGGCCACCCACAAGGCUAACCUGGCUCUCGGAAAGAGAAGUGACCCCAAGAAGACUGAGGAAAAGGGCUCCUGCCCAUCAGUGCACCCACCACUUCCUGCAGGGCCCAUGCCAUGGCUAGUUCUGUCCAGGGGCAGAACAGUCUGAAUGGUGCACUGCAGACAAGAAGGUCUGGGCACAGGGGGCUUAUAUAGUGACUGAUUCAGCCUGGAUUCUCCUCCCAGAACUAGAAGCAGGGCUGCCUGACAGAUGCAACUACUAAGACAAAUGGAAACUGAGGAAGGCAGGGGCCCUUUGUGAGGAGGGUGUGACUUAGAAGGGAAGAUGGAGGAGUAAGAUAAAGAAUGUGCUUUUAGCUUUAAUGUCCAUUAAAUAAGUUGAUAGGAAUAAAGUAGGGACCAGACCCUUGCAAAGGGCCCAAUUGCUGUCCUCAAACUGUGACCCCCCCAGAGCUGGGAGAGUUCUCCGGGCAGAUGGCUAAGCAGCAUGGAGUGGCAGCUGUGGCCCUAGGGUGUGGUGAGGCAGAGGAGGAAGAACAACUUCAAGCUCCGCCUGACUGCUGCAGUUGGGUCCCCACAGACAGAGUCCUGCAUCCCCCCAUGCUGCCGUGCGGAGAAGCCCUUGCCUCUGGUGGCAUCCACUCUGGUGAGGCAAGGCUGCCGCAGCUGGGCAUGGAAAGCCAAGCAGACGACAGCUCCCAGUGCAAUGCAAGUUUACAGAUCAAGUCUUACUUCACUCAGGUCACCUCCAGGGAAGGCCUCAGGCCUUCCUGCCCUGAAGGCUAGCUGUCUGCCUUCUUCAUGUGGUGAAAGAUGUUGCAGAAGAGCUCAUACCAGAAGAACACCAAGCCAGUGGAGAGGGCAGCCUUCAGCAGGCUGGGGGACAGGCCCUUGAAGAAGCCCUUCAGGCCCUCCUCUUGAAACACUUGCUUGGCACAAUCCUGGAGGCCCCUGUAGUUUCGAACCUGGGGAGGAGAAGGUUACUCAGAUGAGAGAGGUGAUUAAAACAUGGAUAUUGGCUUUAUUCUUCUGUCAGCACAGCUCCUGGCACAUCAUAGCUGCCAGUAAACACCUGCUGGACAAAGGAAUGAAUGCAAAAGAACAGAGGAUAAUGUAACCCUGUUCUUUUCUUCCUGGCAGCUGAUGCAGACUUAACAAAUGCAAUGCACAGAAAUCAGCACUGGACAGAGCUCCUUCCUGCCGGAGGCUCCACUGACAGUGGCUCUCACAAGCCUAGUGAGAGCUGGGACCCUCUUCCCAAAGGCAUCUCUGACCCUCACCCGUCCCCCUGGGGCAUUAGCUCUGCAUCUGGCCCUCAUCAGCUCAUAGCCUGACCAGUGUCCCUGAGCUUGGCUCCAGCUGACCACACACUGCUGCCAGGCCCAUCUCCCUAAGCACAGCUCUGCUCGAGCCUCGCUCCCUUCCGGAAGCUCUAGUAACCCCUGGGGAAGAUGAUGAUGGCAAUAACAUCAUGAAGAAUAAAGUCCAAGUUCCAGGGCCUGGUGUUCAGGGCAUUCAAUUUGGCCUCAGCCCCCUGGACUGUCCUCCCACAGGCCCCUCCUGCCUCUGGCCAAACAGCUCCCACUAGUCUCCUUAGCUGGGCUCUGCUACCCUAUCCUGGGCUCUCACCAACUCUUCCUGUCCAAAUUCAAACGGUCCCCCCAGGAGGAGUUGGUAAAUGCAAAAAGGAGGUUAUAAAGCCUUGUAUUCAAUCACAAUUUGUUAGAAUGUACACAUGUAUUUAUUUAUGCAAAUAUAAAACUACAGC